rnacentral:rRNA from 1 species
AUUGAACGCUGGCGGCAUGCCUUACACAUGCAAGUCGAACGGCAGCACGGGUGCUUGCACCUGGUGGCGAGUGGCGAACGGGUGAGUAAUACAUCGGAACGUACCUUAUCGUGGGGGAUAACGCAGCGAAAGCUGUGCUAAUACCGCAUACGCCCUGAGGGGGAAAGCGGGGGAUCGAAAGACCUCGCGCGAUUAGAGCGGCCGAUGCCUGAUUAGCUUGUUGGUGGGGUAAAAGCCCACCAAGGCGACGAUCAGUAGCUGGUCUGAGGGGACGAUCAGCCACACUGGGACUGAGACACGGCCCAGACUCCUACGGGAGGCAGCAGUGGGGAAUGUUGGACAAUGGGGGAAACCCUGAUCCAGCAAUGCCGCGUGAGUGAAGAAGGCCUUCGGGUUGUAAAGCUCUUUUGUCAGGGAAGAAACACCGGCUCUAACACAGUCCGGGAAUGACGGUACCUGAAGAAUAAGCACCGGCUAACUACGUGCCAGCCGCCGCCGUAA